GGGAAUGUGGCUUAGUGGUAGAGUGUUUGCUUCACAGGCAUGAAGCCCUGGGUUCGAUUCCUCAGUGCCA
rnacentral:tRNA from 1 species